AAAAGGCUUACUUUCCGCUAUAUGUGGGAGUAAGAGCUAGUACGCGGUUUGUCGCGUCUGUCGUGACACUCCGGGGCUUCACCCCGGAUCUGCGGUGGGUACGGGCAUACUACUAGUGCAGUAAGGGAGACUGGAAUUCCUGGUGUAGCGGUGGAAUGCGCAGAUAUCAGGAGGAACACCGAUGGAAGAAGGCAGGUCUCUGGUCUGUAACUGACACUCAGGAGCGAAAGCAUGGGGAGCGAACAGGAUUACAUACCCUGGUAGUCCAUGCCGUAAACGUUGGGCACUAGGUGUGGGGACCAUUCCACGGUUUCCGCGCCGCAGCUAACGCAUUAACUGCCCCGCCUGGGGAGUACGGCCGCAAGGCUAAAACUCAAAGGAAUUGACGGGGGCCCGCACAAGCGGCGGAGCAUGCGGAUUAAUUCGAUGCAACGCGAAGAACCUUACCAAGGCUUGACAUGUUCUCGAUCGCCGUAGAGAUACGGUUUCCCCUUUGGGGCGGGUUCACAGGUGGUGCAUGGUUGUCGUCAGCUCGUGUCGUGAGAUGUUGGGUUAAGUCCCGCAACGAGCGCAACCCUCGUUCCAUGUUGCCAGCACGUCGUGGUGGGGACUCAUGGGAGACUGCCGGGGUCAACUCGGAGGAAGGUGAGGACGACGUCAAAUCAUCAUGCCCCUUAUGUCUUGGGCUUCACGCAUGCUACAAUGGCCGGUACGAUGGGUUGCGAUACUGUGAGGUGGAGCUAAUCCCAAAAAGCCGGUCUCAGUUCGGAUUGGGGUCUGCAACUCGACCCCAUGAAGUCGGAGUCGCUAGUAAUCGCAGAUCAGCAACGCUGCGGUGAAUACGUUCCCGGGCCUUGUACACACCGCCCGUCAGUCACGAAAGUUGGUACACCCGAACCGGUGGCUAACCUUGUGGGGGAGCGUCGAAGGUGGACCGCGAUUGGACUAAUCGUACAGGGUAACCGUAAAAGAAAAACCCCCCCCCCACACCCCAAAACAACAAACAACCACACCCAACACCAACAGACGACAAA
rnacentral:rRNA from 1 species